rnacentral:rRNA from 1 species
CCUACGGGUGGCAGCAGUGAGGAAUAUUGGUCAAUGGGCGGAAGCCUGAACCAGCCAAGUAGCGUGCGGGAUGAAGGCCCUACGGGUCGUAAACCGCUUUUGCACGGGGAUAACACCCUCCACUUGUGGCUGUCUGCAGGUACCGUGCGAAUAAGCCCCGGCUAACUACGUGCCAGCAGCCGCGGUAAUACGGAGGGGGCGAGCGUUAUCCGGAUUUACUGGGUGUAAAGGGAGCGUAGACGGUGAUGCAAGUCAGAAGUGAAAGCCCGGGGCUCAACCCCAGGACUGCUUUUGAAACUGGGAGACUGGAGUACAGGUGAGGUAAGCGGAAUUCGUGGUGUAGCGGUGAAAUGCGUAGAUAUCAGGAGGAACACCGGUGGCGAAGGCAGCUUACUAAACUGUAACUGACAUUGAGGCUCGAAAGCGUGGGGAGCAAACAGGAUUAGAUACCCGUGUAGUC